rnacentral:rRNA from 1 species
UAAGUAGAUAGUGAAAUCUGGAGGCUCAACCUCACAGGCUAUUAUCUAAACUGGCAAACUCGAGAAUGGUAGAGGUAACUGGAAUUUCUAGUGUAGGAGUGAAAUCCGUAGAUAUUAGAAGGAACACCAAUGGCGUAGGCAGGUUACUGGACCAUUUCUGACACUGAGGCACGAAAGCGUGGGGGCGAACCGGAUUAGAUACCCGGUAGGUCACGCCGUAAACGAUGGAUACUA